CACGUAGGGUGCGAGCGUUGUCCGGAAUUAUUGGGCGUAAAGAGCUCGUAGGCGGUGUGUCGCGUCGGCCGUGAAAACCUGCAGCUUAACUGUGGGCGUGCGGUCGAUACGGGCAUCACUGGAGUUCGGCAGGGGAGACUGGAAUUCCUGGUGUAGCGGUGAAAUGCGCAGAUAUCAGGAGGAACACCGGUGGCGAAGGCGGGUCUCUGGGCCGAUACUGACGCUGAGGAGCGAAAGUGUGGGGAGCAAACAGG
rnacentral:rRNA from 1 species